rnacentral:RNase_P_RNA from 1 species
CGAGGAAGACAGACAGUCGCGUGGGCAGGCCGAAAGGCCGUCUAUGAGGAAAGUCCGGGCUCCAUAGGGCAAGGAUAACGGGUAACGCCCGCCGAAGGCGACUUCAGGAAAAGUGCAACAGAGAGAUACCGCCCCGCUGUCCCUUGAGGAAGGCGCCGGGAGGCCGAGUCAACAGCAAUCAACCCUUUGAUUGUUGGCGAUGACGCAGAACGGGCUGCGGGGUAAGGAUGGAAAGGUGCGGUAAGAGCGCACCCGGCGGCUCGAGAGUGUCCGCCGCUGUAAACUCUAUCCGGAGCAACACCGGUAUGGGAGCACACAGGCUGGCCCGGCCGCUCCCGGGGUGGCUAGAGCGCAUUGGCAACAGUGCGUCGAGAUAGAUGACUGUCUAAUACAGAACCCGGCUUACAGUCUUGCUCGCAAA